UGGGGAAUUUUCUGCAAUGGGCGAAAGCCUGACAGAGCAAUGCCGCGUGGAGGUAGAAGGUCUACGGGUCGUAAACUCCUUUUCUCGGAGAAGAAACAAUGACGGUAUCUGAGGAAUAAGCAUCGGCUAACUCUGUGCCAGCAGCCGCGGUAAGACAGAGGAUGCAAGCGUUAUCCGGAAUGAUUGGGCGUAAAGCGUCUGUAGGUGGCUUCUCAAGUCCGCCGUCAAAUCCCAGGGCUCAACCCUGGACAGGCGGUGGAAACUACCAAGCUGGAGUACGGUAGGGGCAGAGGGAAUUUCCGGUGGAGCGGUGAAAUGCGUAGAGAUCGGAAAGAACACCAAUGGCGAAGGCACUCUGCUGGGCCGACACUGACACUGAGGGACGAAAGCUAGGGGAGCG
rnacentral:rRNA from 1 species